rnacentral:tRNA from 1 species
GCUGGGGAUAUGGCUCAAGCGGUAGCGCGCUCGCCUAGCAUGUGUGUAGCCUGGGUUCGAUCCUCAGCAGCA